rnacentral:rRNA from 1 species
CGAACGGAUAAGGAGCUUGCUCCUUUGAAGUUAGCGGCGGACGGGUGAGUAACACGUGGGUAACCUACCUAUAAGACUGGAAUAACUUCGGGAAACCGGAGCUAAUGCCGGAUAACAUUUGGAACCGCAUGGUUCUAAAGUAAAAGAUGGUUUUGCUAUCACUUAUAGAUGGACCCGCGCCGUAUUAGCUAGUUGGUAAGGUAACGGCUUACCAAGGCAACGAUACGUAGCCGACCUGAGAGGGUGAUCGGCCACACUGGAACUGAGACACGGUCCAGACUCCUACGGGAGGCAGCAGUAGGGAAUCUUCCGCAAUGGACGAAAGUCUGACGGAGCAACGCCGCGUGAGUGAUGAAGGUUUUCGGAUCGUAAAACUCUGUUAUUAGGGAAGAACAAAUGUGUAAGUAACUGUGCACAUCUUGACGGUACCUAAUCAGAAAGCCACGGCUAACUACGUGCCAGCAGCCGCGGUAAUACGUAGGUGGCAAGCGUUAUCCGGAAUUAUUGGGCGUAAAGCGCGCGUAGGCGGUUUCUUAAGUCUGAUGUGAAAGCCCACGGCUCAACCGUGGAGGGUCAUUGGAAACUGGGAAACUUGAGUACAGAAGAGGAAAGUGGAAUUCCAUGUGUAGCGGUGAAAUGCGCAGAGAUAUGGAGGAACACCAGUGGCGAAGGCGACUUUCUGGUCUGUAACUGACGCUGA